UAAGGAAUAUUGCGCAAUGGGCGAAAGCCUGACGCAGCGACGCCGCGUGGGGGAUGAAGGUCUUCGGAUUGUAAACCCCUUUCGGGAGGGAAAAUGGAACGAGCAAUCGUUCGGAUGGUACCUCCAGAAGCAGCCACGGCUAACUUCGUGCCAGCAGCCGCGGUAAUACGAAGGUGGCAAGCGUUGUUCGGAUUUACUGGGCGUAAAGGGAGCGUAGGCGGUUUGGUAAGCCCCUCGGGAAAUCUUCGGGCUCAACCCGGAAAGGUCGGGGGGGACUGCCAGGCUAGAGGAUGGGAGAGGAGCGCGGAAUUCCCGGUGUAGCGGUGAAAUGCGUAGAGAUCGGGAGGAAGGCCGGUGGCGAAGGCGGCGCUCUGGAACAUAUCUGACGCUGAGGCUCGAAAGCGUGGGGAGCAAACAGGAUUAGAUACCCCCGUAGUCC
rnacentral:rRNA from 1 species